rnacentral:rRNA from 1 species
AACGAACGCUGGCGGCAUGCCUAACACAUGCACGUCGAACGAUGCCUUCGGGCAUAGUGGCGCACGGGUGCGUAACGCGUGGGAAUCUGCCUUUCGGUUCGGAAUAACUCAUGGAAACUUGAGCUAAUACCGGAUAACGUCGCAAGACCAACGAUUUAUCACCGAAAGAUGAGCCCGCGUAGGAUUAGCUAGUUGGUGAGGUAAAGGCUCACCAAGGCGACGAUCCUUAGCUGGUCUGAGAGGAUGAUCAGCCACACUGGGACUGAGACACGGCCCAGACUCCUACGGGAGGCAGCAGUGGGGAAUAGAGGACAAGGGGCGAAAGCCUGAGCCAGCGAGGCCGCGUGAGUGAUGAAGGCGUUAGGGUUGUAAAGCUCUUUUACCCGAGAAGAUAAUGACGGUACCGGGAGAAUAAGCCCCGGCUAACUCCGUG